rnacentral:tRNA from 1 species
GCCGGGGUGGCUUAGCCUGGUUAAAGCGCCGGACUCAUAAUCCGGAGAUCGCGGGUUCAAAGCCCGCCCCCGGCA